GACGUGAGUUGGGUUGGCGUUGGUGCCGUUGUUGGAGGCGGCUCCAGAACCCCAAGUGGAAUUUGCAUAAUUUGAAGCAGCAGCACCUCCAAUUGUUGAAUCUAAAAAGAUGAAGACUCCAAUCACAAACUCUGCCAUAGGAGGAGCGUGGAACUGCACUGACAAUCUUAUACAAGAAUUCUAGUGGCAGAUGACCAACUGUUCUUUCUUCUUCAGGAUCACAUGGGAAGCCUGUAAAAAGCUGCAAACAGAACCCAGGAAUCCAGUCAAGGGGUCCAGAGUACACAUGUAUUAUGCCUAGUGACUGACUGCUUUGACAGACAAAGUUCAACAUUGGAA